rnacentral:snoRNA from 1 species
UCCCUCUCAGGAUGGCACCUGGGGAGUUGCCAGUACUCUACCAGUCUCAACUCUGGGAGGGAGAGUCAAGCAGAGGCCUACCCGUUCCAUUCCUAGCUUGGCCAGCGGCUAGAGAGUGGAAGGCAAUCUGCUGCACGU